CGUUUCCGUGUAACUAGCGCUACUGGCAUUUGGUGGCAGCUUCAGGCAACAAACAGUUUUCACGCUUUCUGUUGAUUUUGUUCUCGGAAACUGCUCAGUGUGUGCAUCGCGAGUUCUAAUUCUUUGCCCUUGGAAAAUUUUAAUUUCUCCGCUUCCGCUACCUCACUUGCUGGUGAACGACGUGGCAUCGUGGGAAAACCGGUCGUAUUGUUGGCGAAAACUUCCCUGGCGGAACCAGGCAACCCGUGGAAGACAUGUCCCUAAAUCAAUAUCAAGGUUAACUACACUUGAAGCGCAGAAUCAUACGGUGAAAUUACGCUUCAAUAGGUAACAUCCCAGCUGCUCAAAUUGGUGCCAAUAAUCUGAUGGACAAACAAGCUAGAAAAUAUGUUUAUUUUCUUGGUAGAAUAGGACAUAUUGCCGUACGUAGAAGUACUUGGGCCUGCUAGGCGAACCAUUCGUACUGAUGUGACUCCAGCACCCGAAUUGUGCAAAAUAAAUGUAGUGGUCACAUGGAAGUAAAUCCGUUCUUGCAAAAAACGUAUUUGGCGGAGAAGGUAGUCUUGACGAAAAUUAAACCGGGGAGCGCUAGAAAAACCUUAAGUUUCGCAUCAAUGCAAAUCAAGACAGAGCGGUUAAUUUGAAAAUUAUUGUGGUUCAAGGAAAUCAUGUUCCAAACUGUGUACAGUUGGAGGAACUGAAGGGAUUCAAUGGAAUAGAUUCCCAGGUAAUGAUCACAUCACUUUCAGGAUACUGCGACGUCCGUGGGAAUACACUUGAUCCACGUUACUGCCAACGAUCAGCCUAUCAACGGUUCGCCAUUCUCUUGUAACGUGUUUGACGUUUCGCGUGUGUCGGUUGGUUCAUCACAGCACUUCACUGGGAGUUCCGUUAACCUUUAGUAUGGAUGCUGCUGGCGCUGGUGCGUUUGAAUUGGUUGUGUCUACAGAUAUCAUCACCGUUAAAGCUGAAGUCAUAGUUUGUGUCAGAACACUGCACGACGCAACAUUCGAUCCCCAAAUUUGUGAGCCACAUUUCGACAACAUCAGCUUCAAUACUUCGGUCAAACGGGCGGGAAAAAACGAGCAGGAAAACAAAUAUAUUCUACUGCCGCGCCAUCUACAUGUGAAUGUUGAAAAUAAAGUGUGAAGUCUGCAGGAAAAAAUGAAAUGCUUGAAAAAAAUUUAAAAAAUUCCCGCCGAGUUCGUGAAGUGAGCCGGAAAAAUACAACAAGGUGGAGACAUUGGUUAGUGGGCGGAGCAUAAAAACAAAAACAAUAUUUUUUCCCGCUAGGUUCAUGAAGUGAGCCGGAAAAAAACAACAAGGUUCGUGAAGUAAGCGGGUAAAACGACAGAGUGGAUUGUGAGCUGAGCAAAAAUUAAAAAAAAUAUCCCCCCCACGGUUCGUGAAGUGAGCUGGAACAAAAAGACAAAACUGGAUCAACUUGUGGUGGAUGGAUCAAAUAAAUUGUUAUAUUUGCAGAAAAAACAGGAUAAAUUUUAUGAUGGGAUCCUCACUGCAAAACGAGUAAACGAUUAUGUUGAACAUGCAGCGUUGCUAAGUCGCUUAUUUCGUUGCAUAUGCCAUUCCACACUCAUUCCUGAAUGAUUCUGGGCGACUUCAGAGGCGUCUGUGUACAACAGUUUUUACGAGGCUCAUAUUGUUAUAAGAUUGAUAGGCAUUAUUCACAUAUUAUUUUGAUUUAUUUUUAUUACCGAUAAUUUGAUUGAAUUAAAUAUUUAAUCUUUUAUCACUAUUUUGUGUAGUAUACCCAAGUAACCAUAAGCAUUAAUUCAUUGCACUAUAUUAGCUAUACAUUUGCACUAAUGUUGCAUUGAAACUCCAUUACAGCAUUAACAAUGCAAUAAAGCUCUAUAUUAGCAUCAAUAAUGUAUAACUGCACAACCGACAUAUAGCAUUAUCGCUUGCUCUAUAUGCGUAUAUAAAGCUGAUAUAACGCGUACAUGCUUCAAGGAUCUUUAAAGCAUGUAAGCUUUACAAGUGCAUUUAAUGCCAUUAUAGAGCAAAUAAAAAACCGAUAUAAUGCUAUUUUAAUGCUGUGGGUUUAUUUGUUAUGCAACUCUUCUUGAAGAUUAUAUUCGGCAUAUUUUAUUUCAAUCGAACAUAUGCAAUAUAGUCAGGGAGCAAACGCAGCGCACUUACCGUGAAGGACGAGGUAAGGUACCUCAGUUGGAGACCUACUAAAGGUAAUUUUCGUAAAACAUUCAUAUCAUAUCAGAACGAAAAACCAUUAUGGAUAUUCAUUAGAAUGCAUUAGAAGAAAGUCAAUUACAGUUUUAAACAGAACAAUUUAUUUUAAUUUUUUUUUCUUUUUGCUCAUCAUAACGAAAGGAAAUAUAAGAAAUGGUUUUAAAAUCAUGGCGAACAAUGACAAUCAGCCGAAGCUCUUUUAUAGCAUUAGUAGUGCUAGUAUAAGGCUUUAAAAUUUGACAUUUGUGCGCUGGAGCUAUAUAAUAGCAUUAGUACUGCAGAAACGAGCUGUCAAUCUCUGCGCAGUAAUAGCACUAUAUUUCGCCUUUUCUGGCAUAAUAUCAGCAUUAUAUAAGUAUUUAGGGCUUCACAGCUCUAUAAGACUGCAUUAUAUGUGGAUCUAAAGCAGAUAUUAGGCUACGAUAUAAUGCUUAUUGGUUACUUGGGUAAUCAUGACACACUGGUUCUGUGAAGGGAAUUGUUAACUUAAAAGAAAGUGUUUUCCUGAAACCUUUUCCUACACCUCUGGUUACUAAUAUGCUUUAACCCACAUGAAUUAUCUGUAUGAAUAAUCUCUGUUGUACGACAUUCAACCGUCUACGCUAUUCCCCUGAAUAUAUAGCUAGCUAAUGUGAGCUUUUCUAUUCAAAAAAUUGAUUGUCGUACUUAGCUUUAAACUACCUAUAUUGACUUUAAUUGGGUUUAUACUAUCUAUCUGGACUUAUACAAUACAUAUCUGUGUUAUACAAAAAAAGUUUUAGACUUAUUAAAUUAUCUUUCGCUGCAUCCAGUUUUCUGAUUCAGGCUCCAUAAUCGUUAUCUUAGUUUCACGUCUUGGCCAUCUUGAAGAUUGGAGAAGUUUUGGCUUCCAUUUUGUUCAAAAAUAGAAGGCACGCUGAUAUAACUCGUGGGUGUACGUUUUUUCCUUGAAAUUCUUCGAGGAAGCUAGGGUACGUCUUGCCGUAUCACUUGGCUGAUCCGAAAAAUGUUUAUAUGAGUACCUAUUAGUCUCAUCUGACUUCUAGCAAUCACGUUGUAUUCACAUAGAAGGUGGGGUCAAAAUAGUAAUCUGCAAUAUUUUCAAUUAUGCGUUUAAUUAUGUGAAGAAAAUUUUGUUUUAGUUGCAAGUAAAGAAAUUUAAUUUUCAUUUUGCUGUAUAUGGAUUUUUUUUCUAUUUGAGUAGUCCAACUGAAGACCUUAGGUGCUCGAAGGAGCCCCCGUCACAAACACCCUGAAAUACCAGAUGAAACGGGAAAUGUUACCCACUAUAACUCUACUUAAAAGUGUGACUUCAAUGGUUAAUUUUAAGUGUGAAAUUCAGACGCUAGAAGCCAAUCAAUAAAAUUUAUGACU